rnacentral:rRNA from 1 species
AUUGAACGCUGGCGGCAGGCCUAACACAUGCAAGUCGAGCGGUAGAGAGAAGCUUGCUUCUCUUGAGAGCGGCGGACGGGUGAGUAAUGCCUAGGAAUCUGCCUGGUAGUGGGGGAUAACGUUCGGAAACGGACGCUAAUACCGCAUACGUCCUACGGGAGAAAGCAGGGGACCUUCGGGCCUUGCGCUAUCAGAUGAGCCUAGGUCGGAUUAGCUAGUUGGUGAGGUAAUGGCUCACCAAGGCGACGAUCCGUAACUGGUCUGAGAGGAUGAUCAGUCACACUGGAACUGAGACACGGUCCAGACUCCUACGGGAGGCAGCAGUGGGGAAUAUUGGACAAUGGGCGAAAGCCUGAUCCAGCCACGCCGCGUGCGUGAAGAAGGUCUUCGGAUUGUAAAGCACUUUAAGUUGGGAGGAAGGGCAGUUACCUAAUACGUAAUUGUUUUGACGUUACCGACAGAAUAAGCACCGGCUAACUCUGUGCCAGCAGCCGCCGUAA